rnacentral:misc_RNA from 1 species
AACGCACCUUGCACUCUCUGGUAUUCCGGAGAGCAUGUCUGUUUGAGUGUCAUGAACUCUUCAACCCACCAGUUUCUAGUAGACUGUUGUGGUGUUUGGAUUUUGAUUGCUGCUAGUCUGACUAGCUCGAUCGUAAUAUAUUAGCAUCUCUAAUUCGAAUUCGGAUUGACUCAGUGUAAUAGACUAUUCGCUGAGGACACUAUUUAUAGUGGCCGUACUAGAACCAGUAGAAGCUUCAAACUACUUUAGUCAACUUUGAUUUAGACCUCAGAUCAGAUAGGAUUACCCGCUGAACUUAA